rnacentral:rRNA from 1 species
CAAUAGCGUAUAUUAAAGUUGUUGCGGUAAAAAAGCUCGUAGUUGGAUUUCUGUUGAGAGCGACCGGUCCAUACCAUGUAUGCGUAUCUGGCUUGCUCUCGGCAUCCUCUCGAUAGACGUUACUGCGCUUGAUUGCGUGGUGCGGAUCUCGGGACUUUUACUUUGAGGAAAUUAGAGUGUUCACGGCAGGCUUUCGCCAGAAUACAUUAGCAUGGAAUAAUACUGUAGGAUCUUGGUUCUAUUUUGUUGGUUUCUAGAAUUGAGAUAAUGAUUAAUAGGGACAAUUGGGGGCAUUCGUAUCAACACGUCAGAGGUGGAAUUCUUGGAUUGUGUUGCGACGAACUACUGCGAAAGCAUUUGCCAAGGAUGUUUUCAUUGA